rnacentral:rRNA from 1 species
UACGUAGGGUGCAAGCGUUGUCCGGAAUUAUUGGGCGUAAAGAGCUCGUAGGCGGUUUGUCGCGUCUGCUGUGAAAACUCGGGGCUCAACUCCGAGCUUGCAGUGGGUACGGGCAGACUAGAGUGCGGUAGGGGAGACUGGAAUUCCUGGUGUAGCGGUGGAAUGCGCAGAUAUCAGGAGGAACACCGGUGGCGAAGGCGGCAUCCUGGACCGACACUGACGCUGAGGAGCGAAAGCCAGGGGAGCAAACGGG